GCGCAACCCCUAUCCUCUGUUACUAGCGGUUCGGGUGGAGAGACUCAAAGAAAAUCCCCGGGGACAACUCGAAGAAGGGUGGGAACAACUUCAAUCCUCCUUGCCCCUUACAACCUGGGUUCCCCCCUUCUUCCAUUGGGUAUACCAAAAGAAACCAACACUGUAGAGUGGACCGAACCCCUAAAAUGUGUCCUCAUUCCGAAUGGAGUGCUGCACUCCACCCCCUUAAAUUUGGAUUUCUUAUUAUCCUCGAAUCAAAUUGCCGCGGUAAUUCCUUCCCCGGGCCUUUUACCCACCGCCCGUCCCACCUUGGGAAUUUGUGAGCGCCCGAAUCCGUUGAUGUACCCUCGGGGAGGCGCUCGUCAAUUGUUAAACCAUGAAUGGGGUGAAUUCUUACA
rnacentral:rRNA from 1 species